AUUGAACGCUGGCGGCAUGCUUAACACCUGCAAGUCGAGCGAGCGUCGUACGGGUGAGUAAUGUCUGGGAAACUGCCUGAUGGAGGGGGAUAACUACUGGAAACGGUAGCUAAUACCUCAUACCAUCAGAUUUGCCCAGAUGGGAUUUGCUAGUAUGUCGGGUAAUGGCUCACCUAGGCGACGAUCCCUAGCUGGUCUGAGAGGAUGACCAGCGAAACUGGAACUGAAACACGCUCCAGAGUCCUACGAGAGGCAACAGUGGGGAAAAAUGCACAGUGGGAGGAAGGCUGAUGCAGUCGUGCGGCGAGUGUGGAGAAGGCCUUCGGGUUGUAAGGCCGUAUCCGCGAGGAGGCGUUACUCGCAGAAGAAGCACCGGCUAACUACGUGCCAGCAGCCGCGGUAAUUC
rnacentral:rRNA from 1 species